GGAGUGGUGUGAAAAUGAAAUAGAUUUUGUGUUAACCAUUGUUUGAUGCAUUAAAUAUAUAACUAACAUGUUAAGUUGCUCAUGAUCUUUUUCAGUUUAUUUUUUGCAUAUUUACUGUUUGGGCAUGUAUGUGUGUAUUUGAAAAUUAACUGGAAUGAUUCAGGUCUAAAGUUAGCACAGGCUAAUAAGAAAUAUUGAUAUAGCAUUUAAACUAAACUGUUUGCAAGUGAUUAAUUUCAAGUUUGGUUGGUAGAUGUGUAUUUAGGAUUCUUUUGUGGUUAUUAUACAUGUAUGAUUAUAUUUUUUUUUCUUCUCUUUCGUUUAAUGGUUGAACAUUUACUCAAGAUGUUUAUUUUCUGUACCAAGUAAAUGUUUAGAGAAUGCUGUGGCAUUGCCUUUCAUCAUUUUUUUCUAUAUGUUUUGAACUGACUGCACACUGACAAGCUCAACUAAGGAAGUCUCCAUAACACUCGGGCCAGAUACAAAGGCUCCAGGGUUGGUCACAAGGUCUCGGACUCUACUGAACAACUGAAUACACAAAAGGACCCAUGCGGAGAGAGGGGUCAACCAAGUUAAUGUUUGGGAGCGGUAAAUGACUGACAUAAUUGCUAUGGCUUUUUGUAGCUGUGACAAUGAAAACACAAUUUGGUUUCUUUAUAUUUUACUUCUUUACUUACAGGAGAGAGAGAGAGAGAGAGAGAGAGAGAGAGAGAGAGAGAGAGAGAGAGAGAGAGAGAGAGAGAGA